AGUGAACGCUGGCGGUAGGCCUAACACAUGCCAGUCGAACGGCAGCACAGUAAGAGCUUGCUCUUACGGGUGGCGAGUGGCGGACGGGUGAGUAAUACAUCGGAAUCUACUUUUUCGUGGGGGGUAACGUAGGGAAACUUACGCUAAUACCGCAUACGACCUACGGGUGAAAGCAGGGGAUCUUCGGACCUUGCGCGAUUGAAUGAGCCGAUGUCGGAUUAGCUAGUUGGCGGGGUAAAGGCCCACCAAGGCGACGAUCCGUAGCUGGUCUGAGAGGAUGAUCAGCCACACUGGAACUGAGACACGGGCCAGACUGCGACGGGAGGCAGGAGUGGGGAAUAUUGGACAAUGGGCGCAAGCAUGAUCCAGCCAUACCGCGUGGGUGAAGAAGGCCUUCGGGUUGUAAAGCCCUUUUGUUGGGAAAGAAAAGCAGCAGGUUAAUACCCCGCUGUUCUGACGGUACCCAAAGAAUAAGCACCGGCUAACUUCGG
rnacentral:rRNA from 1 species